rnacentral:rRNA from 1 species
UACGUAGGGUGCAAGCGUUGUCCGGAAUUAUUGGGCGUAAAGAGCGCGUAGGCGGCCUUGAUAGUUGGGCGUGAAAGGCCUGGGCUUAACCCAGGAACUGCGUUCAAUACUGUAAGGCUAGAGUGUGGGAGAGGUUGGUGGAAUUCCCAGUGUAGAGGUGAAAUUCGUAGAUAUUGGGAAGAACACCGGUGGCGAAGGCGGCCAACUGGACCACAACUGACGCUGAGGCGCGAAAGCGUGGGGAGCAAACAGG